rnacentral:rRNA from 1 species
UAUCAAUAAGCGGAGGAAAAGAAACCAACAGGGAUUGCCCCAGUAACGGCGAGUGAAGCGGCAACAGCUCAAAUUUGAAAUCUGGCCCUCGGGUCCGAGUUGUAAUUUGUAGAGGAUGCUUUUGGCGAGGUGCCUUCCGAGUUCCCUGGAACGGGACGCCAUAGAGGGUGAGAGCCCCGUCUGGUCGGACACCGAGCCUCUGUAAAGCUCCUUCGACGAGUCGAGUAGUUUGGGAAUGCUGCUCAAAAUGGGAGGUAUAUGUCUUCUAAAGCUAAAUAUUGGCCAGAGACCGAUAGCGCACAAGUAGAGUGAUCGAAAGAUGAAAAGCACUUUGAAAAGAGGGUUAAAAAGUACGUGAAAUUGUUGAAAGGGAAGCGCCUAUGACCAGACUUGAGCCCGGUGAAUCAUCCAGCGUUCUCGCUGGUGCACUUUGCCGGGCCCAGGCCAGCAUCAGUUUGGCGCGGGGGAUAAAGGUGACGGGAAUGUGGCUCCCUCGGGAGUGUUAUAGCCCGCUACGUAAUACCCUGCGCCGGACUGAGGUACGCGCAUUGCAAGGAUGCUGGCGUAAUGGUCAUCAGCGACCCGUCUUGAAACACGGACCAAGGAGUCGUCUUCGUAUGCGAGUGUUCGGGUGUCAAACCCCUACGCGUAAUGAAAGUGAACGCAGGUGAGAGCUUCGGCGCAUCAUCGACCGAUCCUGAUGUUCUCGGAUGGAUUUGAGUAAGAGCAUACGGGGCCGGACCCGAAAGAAGGUGAACUAUGCCUGUAUAGGGUGAAGCCAGAGGAAACUCUGGUGGAGGCUCGCAGCGGUUCUGACGUGCGAAUCGAUCGUCAAAUAUGGGCAUGGGGGCGAAAGACUAAUCGAACCUUCUAGUAGCUGGUUCCGC